GACGAACGCUGGCGGCGUGCCUAAUACAUGCAAGUCGAACGGUUUAGUUCCAAGAGGCUUGCCUUUUGGAACUAGACAGUGGCGGACGGGUGAGUAACACGUAGGCAACCUACCUGUCAAACCGGGAUAACCUCGGGAAACCGAAGCUAAACCCGGAUAAGCUCCUUUUUCGCAUGAAGGGGGAGUGAAAAGGUGCGACCUGAUGACAGAUGGGCCUGCGGCGCAUUAGCUAGUAGGUAGGGUAACGGCCUACCUAGGCGAUGAUGCGUAGCCGACCUGAGAGGGCGUACGACCACACUGGGACUGAGAUACGGCCCAGACUCCUACGGGAGGCAGCAGUAGGGAAUCUUCGGCAAUGGGCGAAAGCCUGACCGAGCAACGCCGCGUGAGUGAGGAAGGCCGUCGGGUUGUAAAACUCUGUUGUUUGGGAAGAAGGGAAAGGGUAGGACCCUUAGGUGACGGUACCAAACGAGAAAGCCCCGGCUAACUACGUG
rnacentral:rRNA from 1 species